rnacentral:rRNA from 1 species
GGCUCCGAUCAAUAGCUGGUCUGAGAGCAUGAUCAGCCACACUGGAACUGAGACACGGUCCAGACUCCUACGGGAGGCAGCAGUCGGGAAUAUUGGGCAAUGGGCGAAAGCCUGACCCAGCAGCGCCGCGUGAAGGAUGAAGGCCUUCGGGUCGUAAACUUCUGUCGAGAGGGAAGAAUGCGUGCGGGUGAAUAAUCCGUACGUUUGACGGUACCUCCAAAGGAAGCACCGGCUAACUCCGUGCCAGCAGCCGCGGUAAUACGGAGGGUGCAAGCGUUGUUCGGAUUUAUUGGGCGUAAAGCGAGUGUAGGCGGUUUGAAAAGUCGGGUGUGAAAUCCCAGGGCCCAACCCUGGAACUGCAUCCGAUACUGUCAGGCUAGAGUCCCGGAGAGGGAGGCGGAAUUCCCGGUGUAGGGGUGAAAUCCGUAGAUAUCGGGAGGAACACCAGUGGCGAAGGCGGCCACCUGGACGGUGACUGACGCUGAGACUCGAAAGUGUGGGUAGCAAACAGGAUUAGAUACCCUGGUAGUCCACACCGUAAACGGUGAGAGCUCGUCGUAGUGGGUAUUGACCCCUGCUGUGACCAAGUUAACGCAGGAAGCUCUCCGCCUGGGAAGUACGGUCGCAAGACUAAAACUCAAAGAAAUUGACGGGGGCCCGCACAAGCGGUGGAGCAUGUUGUUUAAUUCGAAGCAACGCGCAGAACCUUACCUGGAUUUGACAUCUCCGGAAUCUCUCUGAAAGGAGAGAGUGCCUUCGGGAACCGGAUGACAGGUGCUGCAUGGCUGUCGUCAGCUCGUGUCGUGAGGUGUUGGGUUAAGUCCCGCAACGAGCGCAACCCCUAUCGAUAGUUGCUAGCAGUUCGGCUGAGCACUCUAGCGAGACUGCCGGUGUUAAACCGGAGGAAGGUGGGGACGACGUCAAGUCCUCAUGGCCUUUAUGUCCAGGGCUACUAACGUGCUACAAUGGUCGGUACAGACGGUCGCGAACCUGCGAAGGUAAGCCAAUCCUACAAAGCCGGCCUCAGUUCGGAUUGGAGUCUGCAAUUCGACUCCAUGAAGGCGGAAUCGCUAGUAAUCGCAGAUCAGCAUGCUGCGGUGAAUACGUUCCCGGGCCUUGUACACACCGCCCGUCACACCACGAAAGCUGGUUGAACCAGAAGUCGAUGACCCAACCUUCGGGAGGGAAUCGCCCAAGGUAUGACUGGUGAUUGGGGUGAAGUCGUAACAAGGUA